AAUUCUGCAAUUCCAGCUCUGUAAAAAGACCAUGACGACAACUCCCCUGGUUCAAACAAAGGAGCUGGUGGUGGCUCCUUAUAAUCCUUGUCUGUUUGAGCUGCUGUGCCUAGAGGCUGUGUUUCUCUGUACUUGUUUGCUCCUAGUUUAACAUCUUCUUCCUUGUUCUCUGCCAUUUUUUUUUUCUUCAGUCACUCAACUGAGUUUUCUCUCUCUGUAAAUGGAAUCCAAAAAAGGAAGUUAGGUACUGAGAUAGGAUAGGGUUUGUCUUGUUUUAUAGUGGAGAAGUCAUCAUUUACUCCUAAUAAAAUAAGUGUGGCCAGACUUUUCUUUUUCUUUCACUAAUUGUAUAAAUUAUUGGGAUGGUCUAAUCUUUCUAAAACAAAUUACUCCAACCACCAUUUCAUAUUAGAUGAGAUAGUUUAGUCCGAUACGUAGUUUAAGAAAAAAGAAAAAAAAAA
rnacentral:lncRNA from 1 species